UGCCAGCCGCCGCGGUAAGACAGAGGGUGCAAGCGUUGUUCGGAAUCAUUGGGCGUAAAGCGCGCGUAGGCGGUUAUUUAAGUCAGAUGUGAAAGCCCCGGGCUUAACCUGGGAAUUGCAUUUGAUACUGGGUAACUAGAGUGUGGUAGAGGAGAGUGGAGUUUCAGGUGUAGCGGUGAAAUGCGUAGAUAUCUGAAGGAACACCAGUGGCGAAGGCGACUCUCUGGCCUGUCCCUGACGCUGAGGCGCGAAAGCGUGGGUAGCGAACGGGAUUAGAUA
rnacentral:rRNA from 1 species